rnacentral:lncRNA from 1 species
UUCUUUUUUAAUGUGGUUUGGCUCAACAAACAAUAUUUUCUUUGUGGCAUACUGCACUAGCUCUGAUUUGAGUACUUCAAUUCAGCAUAAAGUAGCUUAUUUUCCCUCCUAUUGUUAGUCUGCAAUGAUAUGUACUGUCCUCAAGUACACUGUCGUGUUUUGGCAAGCGAUUUGAAGCUAGCGUGCUGUAUUUUUGCAGGUGAUUGCUUUAAUCCAAUUUUGCAAGCAAUCUAAAGCCAACAGGCCUUGUUUCUUCCCAAAGUGGUGGCGGUUAGAGGCUAGCAGUACUUAUGGUGUGCAGUUUAAAUUAUUUAAGGAAGAUUUGAUUUUCCCCACAAAAAAGGAAGACUUGAUUUGAUGCCUCUAACUGAUUAUAUCUUUAAUCAAACAAUGGAUAUUGAAUAACUGCAUCAUAUUUGGAGGUAACAGUGACGUGUCAUAAGUUUUGGGAUACAGGCAAUACUUUACUUUACUUACCAAAUUACAUUACUAAUAGAAAAUUUACUUAUAAUGAUAGGAAAUCGUGUCUGUAUUGAUGGAGCUCGAACUACAUAGUACAAUCAACAUGUGUCUAGCUCAGAGCUCUUGUCCUAUAAUUCCAUGUUAUGCAUGAUUUCUUCUAAAGUUUCCAUGAAUUUUGCUUUACAUCAAAAACUUAAUCGAACUCCUUCCAGGACAAAAGUAAACAAUACUACAUAUCUUGAUAUAAAUCCUCUGAGUAGUAUGCCCCAAUUUUUAGUUCUUCAUAUACAUUUUUACUUGCAUAGUAUAUUAAUUUUUCUCAAAACAGGUACAUACUUCUAUCAUGCAUAGCGAGUGUAUGAAACAUCUUUUUUAAUUAAGAUGUCCUUCAAUAAAAAUAUUGUAUAUUUAGAAAUAUUUGGAUAACAUACAUGAUCUGUAUAUUCUUUUUCAAGUAGAGUUAGGAAUAUAUUUUUAAUUAAGAAACAUAUUUUGUACAG